rnacentral:rRNA from 1 species
UACAGAGGUCUCAAGCGUUGUUCGGAUUCAUUGGGCGUAAAGGGUGCGUAGGCGGCGCGGUAAGUCGGGUGUGAAAUCUCGGGGCUCAACCCCGAAACUGCACUUGAUACUGCCUUGCUCGAGUACUGGAGAGGAGAUUGGAAUUUACGGUGUAGCAGUGAAAUGCGUAGAUAUCGUAAGGAAGACCAGUGGCGAAGGCGAAUCUCUGGACAGUUACUGACACUGAGGCACGAAGGCCAGGGGAGCAAACGGG